rnacentral:piRNA from 1 species
UAUCGAGGAUAGGAGAGUAUAUGGGUU